UCUUAAGAGGAGGGAGGAGAGGACGCAAGGAAGGAAAGGAAACAAGGGGAAUAGGAACCAAUUUCUCCUGUUUUCAGAGUCUUUAAGUUUCCACUGUAAUCUUCUCUCCAACAACCUUCUCUUCUGUUUGUCUCCAAUAGUCAGGAAAUCUUCACAUGAGAAAAAUAACUGUUCAAAUCAGUUCUAGUCUCAUCCAAAGGAAUCUUGUUUUCAGAUUCAGUAAGCCUUGUUUCAAGAUCAGCCUGCUUGGAUUGAGACAGAGUUUAGUCAUUCUUCACUAAUACUGGGUAUUUUUUCUCUACAUUUCUAUUUUUGGUUGAACUAAUCUUCAGCUUCAUUUGAUCAAAGGAAGAAAAAUAAAUAUGUCAUUGAUUAGAUUUAGUCGAUUUCACUGAUUUUAGGGCUGGAAAAGUGACAUUUUAAUCAUCUGAUCUUAAACCAGCAUGUUUGUCUGACUUUAAUCUUCCAAAUACAUUUGUAGACAUGAUUAUUUCUAGACUGAACAAUCUUCAUUCAAGAAAUCUUGUUUAGUGAAAUGAUCUUGCUGCAUGGACAGAUCAUUUAUCUUGUUUUUAGGACCUUUUCUCUCAGAUUUAGUGUUUUUAUCUUGUUUUAUCUUAUUUUAUCUUGUGUUUAUCUUGUUUUCAUCUUGUUUUAUCUUGUUAUUUAUCUUGUUUUUAUCUUGUUUUCAUCUUGUUUUUAUCUUGUUUUUUAUUUAAUCUUGUUUUUAUCUUGUUUUAAUCUUGUUUUAAUCUUAUUUAAUCUUGUUUUCAUCUUGUGUUUAUCUUGUUUUCAUCUUGUUUUCAAAAUGUUUAUCUUUUUUUUAGUGUUUUUAUCUUGUUUUCAGUGUGUUUAUCUUGAUUAUUUCUUGUUUUUAGUGUUUUUAUCUUGUUUUUUAUCCUGUUUUUAUUUUGUUUUUAUCCUGUUUUUAUCUAGUUUUCAUCUUGUUUUUAGACCUGUUUCCCUCAUAUUUAGUGUUUUUAUCUUGUUUUUAACUUGUUUUUAUCUUGUUUUUGUCUUAUUUGAUCUUGUUUUUAUCUUGUUUUUAACCUAUUUUUAAGUUUUUAUCUUAUUUUAUCUUGUUUUCAGUGUUUUUAUCUUGUUUUUAGUGUUUUUAUCUUGAUUUUAUCUUGUUUUUAGUGUUUUUAUCUUGUUUUUAUCUUGUUUUUAGACCCCCUUUUUUGCAGUGGUUUACUCUGCGGUCUCAGACUGGAUCCAGUAGACCUGCUGGUCCCUGAAGAACCAUUGAGCUCCCAGAUGCCUGAUGCAGCGGUGGAGGUCAGAUCCAACAUAUGGCUCAGAGUGUGUGUGUGUGUGUGUGUGUGUGUGUGUGUGUGUGUGUGUGUGUGUGUGUGUGUGUGUGUGAGUGUGUGUGUGUGUGUGUGUGUGUGUGUGUGUAGAGGAGUGUGAGCUGCCAGCUGGCCCAGACAUGACAGAGAGAGAGGAUGAAUGAGAGAGAGAGAGAGAGAGAGGGAAAAAAGGAGGAGAGGAAGGAAGGAUGGAGGAGGGACAGAAGGAGGCAGCAGAGAAGGAUGGAGGGAGCGAGGUGGGAAGGUGAAAAGGAUGGAGGAGAGAAACAAACGUGGAGAAACUGGCAUCUGCUGCUGCCCUCCAACCCCCGCCAUCACCGCCACCGCCACCGCCACUGUCACCGACAGCAGCAGAGAGAGUGUGUGUGUGUGUGUGAGUGUGUGUGUGUGAGUGAGGAAGUGUGUGUGUGUGUGAGUGAGUGAGGAAGUGUGUGUGUGUGAGAGUGUGUGUAGAGAUAAGACGGAGGAAAGGGCCCAGAUGGUCUGAGGGGAGAGUGACAAGUGGCUGUCAGGGGAUUCAGACAGGCUGGCCCUCUGCUGCCCUGCUGCCACACACACACACACACACACACACACACACACACACACACACACAAACGUGCGCGCACACACAUACACGCACACACGUGUGCGCACACACACAUGCACACACACCUCAGUGUCUUUGUCA
rnacentral:lncRNA from 1 species